GACGAACGCUGGCGGCGUGCUUAACACAUGCAAGUCGAACGGGAAGGCCCGGCUUUUGUGUUUUGCGCGGGGGACGAACGGGUGAGGAGCAAGAGAGUAACCUUCGGUGGAGUUUGAGAGAACGUCAGGGAACUUAAUCUAAUACCGGAUAGGAGCUCCAGCGGCGAGUUGGGGGUUGGAGAGUUUCGGCGGUUGUUGAUGGGCUCGCGGCGUAUGAGCUUGUUGGUGGGGUGGUGGUUUACCAACGCGUUGACGGGUAGCCGGCCUGAGGGGGUGACCGGCAACCUUGGGACUGCGAUAAGGCCGAGAAUCCUACGGGGGGAAGCAGUGGGGAAUAUUGCACCAUGGGCGGAAGCAUGCUGAAGGAACGACGCGUGGGGGAUGACGGACUCCGGGUUGUCAACAGCUUUCGCCUGCGACGAAGAGUGAGUGACGGUAAUGGGUAAAGAAGCACCGGCUAACUCCGUG
rnacentral:rRNA from 1 species